UACGUAGGGUGCGAGCGUUUGUCCGGAAUUAUUGGCGUAAAGGGCUCGUAGGCGGUUUGUCGCGUCGGGAGUGAAAACCUCGGGCUUAACUCGGGGCUUGCUUUCGAUACGGGCAGACUAGAGGUAUGCAGGGGAGAACGGAAUUCCUGGUGUAGCGGUGAAAUGACGCAGAUAUCAGGAGGAACACCGGUGGCGAAGGCGGUUCUCUGGGCAUGAUCUGACGCUGAGGAGCGAAAGUGUGGGGAGCGAACAGG
rnacentral:rRNA from 1 species